AUUGAACGCUGGCGGCAUGCCUUACACAUGCAAGUCGAACGGCAGCACGGGAGCAAUCCUGGUGGCGAGUGGCGAACGGGUGAGUAAUAUAUCGGAACGUGCCCAGUCGUGGGGAUAACGUAGCGAAAGCUACGCUAAUACCGCAUACGAUCUAUGGAUGAAAGCGGGGGAUCGCAAGACCUCGCGCGAUUGGAGCGGCCGAUAUCAGAUUAGGUAGUUGGUGAGGUAAAGGCUCGCCAAGCCGACGAUCUGUAGCUGGUCUGAGAGGACGACCAGCCACACUGGGACUGAGACACGGCCCAGACUCCUACGGGAGGCAGCAGUGGGGAAUUUUGGACAAUGGCGCAAGCCUGAUCCAGCAAUGCCGCGUGCAGGA
rnacentral:rRNA from 1 species